rnacentral:rRNA from 1 species
UACGGGGGGGGGUAAGCGUUGUCCGGAUUUAUUGGGCGUAAAGAGCGUGUAGGCGGCUAGGUAGGUCCGUUGUGAAAACUCGAGGCUCAACCUCGAGACGCCGAUGGAAACCAUCUGGCUAGAGUCCGGAAGAGGAGAGUGGAAUUCCUGGUGUAGCGGUGAAAUGCGCAGAUAUCAGGAAGAACACCCGUGGCUAAGGCGGCUCUCUAGUACGGUACUGACGCUGAGACGCGAAAGCGUGGGGAGCGAACAGG